rnacentral:rRNA from 1 species
UACUCCUACGGGAGGCAGCAGUGAGGAAUCUUCCACAAUGGACGAAAGUCUGAUGGAGCAACUCCGCGUGCAGGAUGAAGGCCUUCGGGUCGUAAACUGCUUUUAUGAGUGAAGAAUAUGACGGUAACUCAUGAAUAAGGGUUCCGGCUAACUACGUGCCAGCAGCCGCGGUAAUA